rnacentral:lncRNA from 1 species
GUCGGAUCCAGAGAAGCUGGUGGAAUAUGAGCUGGUGGCGACUGAGAGGAAGGUGGUGUAGUCACAAUGUCACGGUUCUGAAGAAGCUGCUGGUACUUUGAUCGUAACUGUGAUGGUAAGACCAUUCCUCGGAUCGCUGGCUGCUGAGUGGAAUACGAUGGAUCUGGAUCGAUGGCUGCUGGUACUUUUCUUUUUUUCUUAGACAAUCCCAGUGCCAUGAGAAUACCUGCAAUAUCUAGUCAAAUGAAAUCAGUGUCAAGAUUUUAAACUAAAUCAAC